rnacentral:rRNA from 1 species
UGGGGAAUAUUGCACAAUGGGGGAAACCCUGAUGCAGCGACGCCGCGUGAGCGAAGAAGGUUUUCGAAUCGUAAAGCUCUGUCCUAUGGGAAGAUAAUGACGGUACCAUAGGAGGAAGCCCCGGCUAACUACGUGCCAGCAGCCGCGGUAAUACGUAGGGGGCAAGCGUUGUCCGGAAUCACUGGGCGUAAAGGGUUCGCAGGCGGAAAUGCAAGUCAGUUGUGAAAGGCAGAGGCUCAACCUCUGUAAGCAAUUGAAACUGUAUUUCUUGAGAAGUGGAGAGGCAAGUGGAAUUCCUAGUGUAGCGGUGAAAUGCGUAGAUAUUAGGAAGAAUACCGGUGGAGAAGGCGACUUGCUGGACACAAACUGACGCUGAGGAACGAAAGCGUGGGUAGCAAACAGG